rnacentral:rRNA from 1 species
UACAGAGGUCUCAAGCGUUGUUCGGAUUCAUUGGGCGUAAAGGGUGCGUAGGCGGCGCGGUAAGUCGGGGUGUGAAAUCUCGGGGCUUAACUCCGAAACUGCAUUCGAUACUGCCGUGCUUGAGGACUGGAGAGGAGACUGGAAUUUACGGUGUAGCGGUGAAAUGCGUAGAUAUCGUAAGGAAGACCAGUGGCGAAGGCGGGUCGUCGUGGACAGUUCCUGACGCUGAGGCACGAAGGCCAGGGGAGCAAACGGG